rnacentral:rRNA from 1 species
AGAGUUUGAUCCUGGCUCAGCGCGAACGCUGGCGGCAUGGCUAAAACAUGCAAGUCGAACGCGAAAGUCCCUUCGGGGGCGAGUAGAGUGGCGAAAGGGCGAGGAAUACGUUUCUACGUACCCCGAGGUCGAGGAUAGCCCAGGGAAACUUGGAUUAAUACUCGAUGUGGUCCUUCGGGAUCAAAGGCUUGUCCGCCUCGGGAGCGGGGAACGUCCUAUCAGGUAGUUGGUGAGGUAAUGGCUCACCAAGCCUUAGACGGGUAGCGGGUGUGAGAGCAUGACCCGCCGCAUCGGAACUGAGACACUGUCCGGACUCCUACGGGAGGCUGCAGUAACGAAUAUUCCGCAAUGCGCGAAAGCGUGACGGAGCAAUGCCGCGUGCAGGAUGAAGCCCCUCGGGGUGUAAACUGCUGUCAGGGUUUAGCAACACAAUGAGCAGACCCAAAGGAAGGGCCGGCUAAGUUCGUGCCAGCAGCCGCGGUAAUACGAACGGCCCGAGCGUUGCGCGGAAUCACUGGGCUUAAAGCGUACGUAGGCGGGCGCGCAGGCGUCUUGUGAAAUCCCUCGGCUCAACCGAGGAAUUGCUUGACGAACCGCGUGCCUUGAGGCAGGUAGGGGUUGUCGGAACGAUAGGUGGAGUGGUGAAAUGCGUUGAUAUCUAUCGGAACGCCAAAGGAGAAAUCAGACAGCUGGGCCUGUCCUGACGCUGAGGUACGAAAGCGUGGGGAGCGAACGGGAUUAGAUACCCCGGUAGUCCACGCCGUAAACGAUGUGCACUAGAUCGAGGGGGUUUUGACGCCGCUCUCGGUCGAAGCGAAAGUGUUAAGUGCACCGCCUGGGGAGUACGGUCGCAAGGCUAAAAAUCAAAGGAAUUGACGGGG